UGACAUCAUCACAUAUAGAUAUGGAACUAUAAUAUUAUUGUAUAAAGGAACAGUUGCCAAUAUGGCACCUGCAGGAGCAGUGGCACCCUUGAGCUCUUCCCCUGAUGUCAACAAAGCCUCUUGAGCCCCCUCACUCAUUGUGAUCUUGGUCGUGAGGGUGAUUACCUUUUUUCUUCAAGAAGUACAUAAGAGCUGAAGGAAGAAGUGGGAAGAGUGAUGCUCUUUCCUACUUCGUUUUUCACUUCCAAGGCCUUUUCAAGGCUGAGAUAAAUUCUGCUGGAUCUUAGUUUUACACAGAUUCCUUAGGAAAGGAAAGUGGGUGCACACGUUCUUUCUGCGUCUUUGGGGUGGAGGUUGUUCUGGAGAAGAUGACCACAGUACUUGCUUACAAACCCCAAGGUGCCCAAGGGCCUAAAAAUAUAGAACUGCAGGUGAAAUGGAGGAUUGCUCAGGGAGAGAAAGGUAAGUUGCUUAGAAGUCCAGUUAUUUAUUUAUUUAUUUAUUUCUUUAAUAAAAUUUAUUACACCGCUUGAUUGUUAAAACAAAAACCUCAAUGUGGUUUACAAGAUAAUGAAUAAUUGUUUGCAGAGGUGCAACUAUCUCUAGCCCAGACAAGAAUGUAGGGGAUGAUACAUUUUAAACACAAGCAAAGUGCAAAAAUGGUAGCUACUAGUGGUAUCUGGCUGUGCUAGAAAGGCAGGAUAAAGGAGUGUGGAGGUUUUGUAAUGAUUCUAAAACUGCCAGCUAUUUUCAGGAUGCAACCACCCAGCAAAAUCUAAUUGGGUUGUGAAAAAUGUAGAAAAUGGGAUCAGGAAACAGGAUGCUUUUAUUUCAGAGAGAAAGUCUGCGUUCUCUGACACAAAAAAAGAGAAUUGCAUGUGAGUACUUCAACUUAAUGUGCUGCUGUUGAUGGACAAGGACCCAUAGCUCUGUGACAGAGUAAUCGUUUGGCACACACAAGGCCCCAGUUUCAGCCUCAGCACCUUCAGCUGUGGUGGGGAGGAGGACCACAGGGACCAGGACUGGGGAAGCAGCCCCUUUCUGCCUGAGACCUCUGAAAUCCAGAGCCAGUCAGAUGUUGUUUUUAUUGUGGGAUUUUUUUUUUUAAAGGCAGCAAACAUCUUUCUAAAGACAGCAACAACACAUAAACAAUAAAGCAAUCACAAAAGCAACAAAACAGUGACAAUCAAUGAAGUAGUACAUCAAAGAAAGCAAGUUUAAAAAAAAAACCGCACUGAAGGGGGACCAAUGGCUCACUGCAACAAAAUGUGUUUCAGACUAUAGGUAAAGGUAAAGGGACCCCUGACCAUUAGGUCCAGUCGUGACCGACUCUGGGGUUGCGGCACUCAUCUCACUUUAUUGGCCAAGGGAUCUGGCGUACAGCUUCCGGGUCAUGUGGCCAGCAUGACUAAGCCGCUUCUGGCGAACCAGAGCAGCGCACAGAAACACCUUCCUCCCUGAGUGGUACCUAUUUAUCUACUUGCACUUUGAUGUGCUUUCGAACUGCUAGGUUGGCAGGAGCAGGGACCUGGCAAUGGGAGCUCACCCCGUCGUGGGGAUUUGAACUGCCGACCUUCUGAUCGGCAAGUCCUAGGCUUUGUGGUUUAACCCACAGCGCCACCUACGUCCCCUUUCAGACUAUAGUGCACCCCAAAUUCAUACAAGCGGAGAGGCCCACUUUACAUCUGCAUGUGUCUCCUAAACCAAUUACCCCUGAGUGAACGUAGCCCUUGACAGAAAAAAACAGUGAAGACCAACAAAAACAGCACUGUGCAGACCCUGAGGGGCAAGGUGUUCCAACAAGUAGUUGCUAGGUAGACCAAGAGUCUGCCUCAGAAUAAAAUGGAUUUAUAUGGGUUGCUUGGCCUAGCGACUCAUUCCUCAGUCUAGAUAACUCUAAGCUCUUUGGCUGUUUGAAAUGCUCUCCUGUUGAGGUGAACUUAACAUGCACCUGUGAUGUUUGCAUAAUGCACAACUGGAAAUAGAUGCAAACCAUCUGUUUUGCAGGAUCAGACCAUCUUGAAUUAGAAUCCACAUUCACUCCAGGCUUCUGCCCCCGUUGCUCGAAGCAAUGGAGGGAAUGAGCUGACCAUAGCUCAGUGUCAUCCUUUUGCAAAGACAGCAGGCGCCCAGCAGGCCCCUUACAAGUCCAGGAACCCUAAAUCCCCACCAGUCCCUGCUAUGACAACGGGAGGGCAUGAAAUCCAUAGGUUUCAAAGAAUCCUGAGCUUCAAAACCAACGGUGUCGUUUUUGACCUUUAAAGGCCCUUCAAGACCUGGCAUCCUCACACCUCUCAGGGUUCCACUCUCAGAGAUUUUGAUGGUGGCAGGAAGACUCUGGACCUUUCCCCAAAUAGCUCCAAGGCUCUGGAAAGAAUUGCAAGUGGAGGUGAGUCAGUAUGCCUCCCUGUUAAGCUAUACAGAGAGCUUUCUAAAUCUUAUUUAUUCAAGCAAGCUUGGGGGGAUUGAACAGGUGAAAAUGAUCUAAUGGUGCUAUCUGUGAGAAGGAGAGGAAUUUGUGCUGCUAAUGUUUUAUGGUUGCUGUUGCCUUUGUUAUGCUGUGUACUAUUUAUAUCACCUAUUUUAUGUUUUUGUAAGCCGCCUUUAGCAUUUAUGGGCGGGCUUUGAAUAUAUAUACGUAUAUAUUUUUAAUCACCCUGGUAAUUAUGGUAAUACAGGUAUCAAGAGAAAUAAGGAGUCUUGCACACGCAUCUAACAUGCCAUUCAAACACGUCACUCCCUUUUGCACAGAGAAGCCCAAUCUUCUCAAACUCUGGCUGUUCUUGAGCUGCACUGAUGUUCUUAGCAAGAUAGCACCUGUGUGUUCACCUGCUCUGGCAUGUAAACAGAUGGGCGUGAGUAGGCAUGGUGUGCAACUGUUUGUGCAUGUGGAUGCGACAAUGCAUGUGUGCGCCCUCAUUUUUUGUAUAAUUGUGUGCUGCUCUUGAGCAUCUGUGUGCAGAAACAUGUGCAUCUAUGGAUUUGCCUGUUUCAAAGACUGUGUGCACGCCUGCCUUUGUGAUGGGGUUUGUAUUUGCAUAUCCGUAAGCUUGAAUAUGCAACCUUGUGCACAUGGCGAGCUUCUUUGCCUGGCAGCCUCCUCUGUGUAUAUAUGUACAAGGGAGCAGAGUUUGCUUCCAUGUGCAGGAACGGUAUGUGUGUCACGCCCUCAACCAUCACACAAGAAUGCAUGGCUGUCGAUGGCAGAGGCUCCCCUAGGAAAUAGGAAUUGGAUUCUAAUGAUGUCAACACAGUAUGAAUAACACGAGACACAGGGAGGCAGGGAAAAAAAGGGAUGUGAUACCCUGAUGUGUCCCUCCCACCCCCACCCUGGCACCGUGACGACCGUUGCUAGGAAGCAGAGAAAAUUUAAUUUUGCAACAUUAAUCUGCCGUCUUGAGAGAACCUCCUUCUGGAUCGGGAAGGAGAGAAGACAAAGGGGGACAGUCAUAGUGACAGCUAGGACACUGGGUCUGCAGUGAUUCCUUCCAGUGCUAUAAAUGUGGAGCUUCUGAGACUGCCUGGGUUCAAAACAAAACAUUAACAGCUCACUCUUCUGGAGAAGUGUUGGGUUUUGUAGACUUAGAGGGGACGGCUGAGAAGUCUAGAUUUCCCAUUUUUAAGGAGAGAGAGAGAGAGAGAGAGAGAGAGAGAGAGAGAGAGGUCUAAUGGUUAACACUAGGGGAUCUGAAUGCCAAGGGUCCUGGAAUCUAACCAUGGAAGGAGAGUCGGGUUUGUGUGGAUAACCCAUAGUAGACCCAGACAUACUCCUCUGGUGCUCUCUUACCAUCUUUUGAAAGACAGACUAGUCAUAGCUCAGUGGUAGAACACAGACCUUGCAUGCAGAACAUUCCAGGCUCAAUCCUGGCAUCUCCAGGUAGAGCUAGGAAAGACCCCUGUCUGAAACCAUUUAGAACCACUGCUGAUUUGCAUAGGCAAUACUGAGCUAGUUGGACCACUGAACUUGCCUGGUAUAAUAAGGCAGCUCCCUAUUUUCCAAGACUGGGUCCAUCACAGUCUGAAGGGCAUUCAUCAGAAACCAUGAAAAGCUCCUGUAGGGUCUGGGUUUAAUUCCAACCACAUGAGUCAUUAAAUCCUUCUCUCUCCCAGUCAAGUGCUUUUAAGAGCACAGGAUUCAUAACUACAUAAAUACCCAGUGUGAUCUGUGUUGACUGCAGGUCAAAAUCAAAGAUUUGUGCACUCAGGAAAGCUGAAGUCUGCAGGCUUGCUAAAAGCAAAAUACUUUAUGCAAAUUAAACAGCUUAUGAACAUUUGAUUUACACAACUUUCGUUUCCAGCAUACAGUUGUCGUUGGAUCAAGACGCUAAUUUUUUCAGCAGCAGCACUUGGUUCCAAGAAGAAGACGGGAGGGGAAGUUUGCAC